AAAUAUCUUGAUGCGGGACUCUUCCGAGGCCUCGCAAUCAGGAUGCGUUUACUUUAAAGCAGUAAACUGAACGCAAUUGGAGGGCAAGUCUGGUGCCAGCAGCCGCGGUAAUUCCAGCUCCAAUAGCGUAUAUUUAAGUUGCUGCGGUUAAAAAGCUCGUAGUUGGACUUUAUACUCAGGCAGCCAGUCCUCUUUCGAUAUUUUCUAUACCUAUACAACGGAACUGCUCGGAACGGAGAUUCUAUGGUUCAUCAACUCUUAUUAGUGCAAACGAACGGAGGAACCGGAUCUGCCGCUGAGUUCAAAUCCCGUUUGGUUAGAUAUUUUUUGUUAGAGGUUCUUACUGCGUCUGUGACUGAGUGUAUAUGAGACCGUCGAUUUAUACUUUUUCGAAAUAAUCUAUAAUUGUUCAUGGUGCAAUUCAGUUUGUGUCCGUAGCAGUAUAAGAUAUAUUCGUUCACAUAAAAGUUGUCGACUCUAUCACUUUGAAAAAAUUAGAGUGCUCAAAGCAGGCCUCAUUGCAUAAUUGCCUGAAUGGUAGUGCAUGGAAUGAUGGAAGAUGAUCUCUACCUCGUUAAGUUUAGAAGCAUAACUUUUUGUUUUUAUCUUUGCACCAGGUGGACAGGUACGGAUAAAGAUUCGAGGUUUGAGAUAAUGAUUAAAGGGAACUGCCGGGGGCGUUUGUAUUACGGCGCUAGAGGUGAAAUUCUUGGACCGUCGUAAGACAAACUACUGCGAAAGCAUUCGCCAAGAAUGUUUUCAUUAAUCAAGAACGAAAGUUAGAGUUUAGAAGGAGAUCAGAUACCUCCCUAUUUCUAACCGUAAACUAUGCUAACCGGUUGUCCGUCGGAAGUCAUUUCCAAGACUGGACGAGCGACCCCAGGGAAACCAGAGUUUCUGAGUUCCGGGGGAAGUAUGGU
rnacentral:rRNA from 1 species